rnacentral:rRNA from 1 species
CAUGUAGGCGGGAAUCUAAGUCUGUUGUGAAAAUGCGGGGCUCAACCCCGUAUGGCGAUGGAAACUGGAUUUCUUGAGUGCAGGAGAGGAAAGGGGAACUCCCAGUGUAGCGGUGAAAUGCGUAGAUAUUGGGAGGAACACCAGUGGCGAAGGCGCCUUUCUGGACUGUGUCUGACGCUGAGAUGCGAAAGCCAGGGUAGCGAACGG